UACGUAGGGUGCAAGCGUUUGUCCGGAAUUAUUGGGCGUAAAGAGCUCGUAGGCGGUCUGUCGCGUCUGGUGUGAAAACUCAAGGCUUAACCUUGGGCCUGCAUCGGGUACGGGCAGACUAGAGUGCGGUAGGGGAGACUGGAAUUCCUGGUGUAGCGGUGAAAAUGCGCAGAUAUCAGGAGGAACACCGGUGGCGAAGGCGGUUCUCUGGGCCUUACCUGACACUGAGGAGCGAAAGCGUGGGGAGCGAACAGG
rnacentral:rRNA from 1 species